rnacentral:rRNA from 1 species
UCUUCUUAGGCUCUCUUUCUCCUUCUUUCCUUUUCUUCCCUUUCUUUCCUUCUUUUGGCUCAGUUCGUUGUGAAAGCGCCCAGGCUUAACCGGGCGAGGACAAUGAAGACUGGUCAGCUAGAGGACGGUAGAGGGGUGUGGAAUUCCGGGUGUAGUGGUGAAAUGCGUAGAGAUCCGGAGGAACACCAGAGGCGAAGGCGACACCCUGGGCCGUACCUGACGCUAAGACGCGACAGCACGGGGAGCGAACGG